GAUGAACGCUAGCGACAGGCCUAACACAUGCAAGUCGAGGGGCAGCAUGAAAGUAGCUUGCUACUUUUGAUGGCGACCGGCGCACGGGUGCGUAACAGGUGUGCAAUCUGUCCAUAAUCGGGGAAUAGCCCAGCGAAAGUUGGAUUAAUGCUCCAUGUGAGUUUUAGAGGCAUCUCUUUGAUUUGAAACGUAAGGAUUAUGGGUGAGCACGCUUCUGAUUAGGUAGUUGGUGAGGUAACGGCUCACCAAGCCGACGAUCAGUAGGGGUUCUGAGAGGAAGGUCCCCCACAUUGGAACUGAGACACGGUCCAAACUCCUACGGGAGGCAGCAGUGAGGAAUAUUGGUCAAUGGACGCAAGUCUGAGCCAGCCAAGUCGCGUGAAGGAUGAAGGUUCUAUGGAUUGUAAACUUCUUUUGUCUGAGGGUAAAAAAGCGGACGUGUCCGUUCUUGCAAGUAUCAGACGAAUAAGCAUCGGCUAACUCCGUGCCAGCCGCCCCGUAAUAC
rnacentral:rRNA from 1 species